UGUAGCUCUUCUGAGACACAGUUCUGCAAGAACCAGCUUAUCCACGCUCUCCGAUCUCGUGUCUGUUUCUCUUUCUCCCUCUCUGGUGCUGCCCCUCAUUCAUUCACUCUUCCAUCUUCUUGCCAUUGUGCCAGCUCAAUGUUAAGGGUAUCUGCUCCGUAUCUGUUCAAGGGGAGAUAAUCCAUGCAAAUCAGCAGCAGUGGCUUUCAAUGCGUGGUUCCCAGAGAGGACUCAGCUUGCGGAGGUCACUCGUUCACAGCCGCUCCUCCCAUUACAUUUUUCCCCUUAUUGCAGGACCGCUGUAUGUAUACAGUGACUGAAAGGACUCAAUUUACUGCAACUGCUGCCUGGCUUUCCUUACAAUUUUUUUUUAAAUAGAGGAACUUACCUCCAUCUGUCUUUUCAAGGUCGAAGACCACUUACUCUAAACAUCACAACUAAUGCUGAAGAGUAUGGAGCCUACAUAGAUGCUAAGAGCCCAAUGUUUCCAAAGGACAUUAAUUUUGAUUUCUCUGAUGAAGGCGUGUGGCUGCCCCUCAUGUUUUACAAAAUAUUACCAAGUCAGAGCCAAAAAGAGAAUC